ACACGGAGCGUCAUGGUCUCAACAUUUUUAUCCCUAGUCCCGCUUAAGGAAGGCGACUCGAACACGAUAGUAAACAGCCUCUGCCAGGAACUAAGCAACUUGAAUAUGUCAUUCACUGCAAUUGGCUGUUAAUAGUACCUGAACCUCUCAAAAUACCUCGAGUUUGCGACACAAGGUGACUGUCGAUUGAAGCUGCGGUUACCCGAAUUCUGCAGCAAUGGAUUGAGCUAAAGCUCCACUUCAGCAUUGCUGCAACAAAUGAAAAAUGUUUUAAGGCACAAACGUUGCACAAACUUUUUAGUGAUUAUGUAAAUUAUUUGUAUCUGCUGUUCUUGCAGCCAGUGCUAGCUCAAAUGCAGUACAUCAACAAACUUUUUCAAACAAGCACUGGAGACUCAAGCAAACUUUUAAAUGAUCUCAUAUAUGCGAUAAAUUCACUUAAAUGCAAAAUCAUUCCCCCUUAUGUCAAUAUUGAUAUUUUAAAAAACGAUUUUCAACAUUUUGUUAAGCACGAUUGCUAUUUGGGAUAUGCAUUCGACACAAAGCUCAAAGAGUAUAAGGAAAAUAUCCCGAACGAUAUUGAGGCAGAGAUUCGUUUGAAAUUUUCCAACUUUAUAGUCGAAUUAAUUAUUGAGCUCAAGCAGAGAUUGCCUGACAAUUUUGAAAUCCUCCAGCAAAUUGAUUUGUUUUCCGUCGACAAAAUCUUAUGUGCCAAUAAGGCAAAAAUUGUGCACAUUCUCGAGCACUUUAAGGUGGAAUCAACAAAUAUUGAAGAGAUUAUAUUACAAUACGCGAACGUCCACCUUAUUAAAUGGUCCAAUAAAAAGGAUACCACAAGCUUUUGGGCCGAAGUGUCCAACUACGUGGAUGCAGCAGGGAACAAAUGAUUAUCGGCACUGGCAUCACCUCUUUACAGAGGUGGAAAGAGUGUUCAGUCAAAUGAACAAUGUAAAAACUAAACUUAUAAAUAGAAUGGCCAUUCAGACAAUAAACUCUAUCUUACACAUAAGAUACGGACUACGCCGGGAAACAAAUGCUGUCAUGAUUAUGAAGUGCCAGCAGUACGUCUAAAAAAGAUAGGGACAAAUCAGACGUACAUAAGUUCAGCUGGAGAAGAGGAUAUGUUUGACGAAUUUUCAAAAAUGCUGACUUAGUUCAAUAAAGGAACGAUUAUUUCUUGGCCUUA